CGGCGAUUCCUAGAUUGGCACCCACCGCCACGACGAAUGUCACGGCCAGGACGACCACCUAUGAGGAAAAAGAUGCGGAUUAUGGAGUUAUUAAUUUCUGGUACCAAGACACGCUCGCCGAGGAAAAUUCCACUACUAGAGGAAGGCUAGGAAACAUAAAUCAACCGUUUCUACGGAAGAUGCCGAGAAAGCUGUUGACGCAGGGCUCCUUUUUAUGAGCUGCCCAGCCGAAUGUUAGGACAAAGAAACAUCCUGCGCAUCCGAGGAUUUUACGAGCCGCGAGUUUGCGCUUUCUCGCGGCUCCUAUUUUUAAUCCCGAGAAAGAAAAAGUUGACUCGUCGGGGAAACUAAGUUUUCCGCGGCGAGGUGUCUCUCGGGUUGCUUGCAAGCUUCUCGACGGGCGCUCGUCGACCCCUAAAUUAAGGUUUUCUCGGGGGAAAUUCGGAAAAUACGGAGGUUUCCUCGUGCUCGUCGAUUAUCCGCAGACCCUCUGAUCGGUUCUUCCCCGUAUCGAAUUUGCCUCGCCUACCGAACUAACUCCAUUAACAUAGCGCCAAUUAGUGCGAUGAGUAAUUCGAAACUUGCGCCGCUAGUGGUACAAGUUGCGGGCUCGGUCGGGUUAUUAAUAUCCGGCACACCCCUGUAGAAAUUGUCAAGAGAUUAUGAAAUGACCGCGGACACCCUUAAAUACGGCUUGCCCGUGUAAGGGAUUCCUUGGACUUCCGGACGAGCUUGCAAAAUGAACUUUAACCACGUGGACCUCUUAGUUUAAGUCUUCGGUCCCGUAGAAAAUUGUGGAAUACGAGGAAAAGCGUUUCGGCCAAGGGCUAUCCCUCCUGCCGCACAUCUGUCGGGUUUCCUCGAGCAUUUCCUGACAGCUUUCAGACACGCGGGCCAAGUGUCUAUUUCAGGGUUGGUUAAGGAAAACCCCGAAGGACCUCAUGCCGCCGUUAAGAGAGGAGAUCACGCACCCUCGAGCCUCCGUUCUUUCACCUUUCCUUUCUUGCUGGCACCCGGUCAAAGCCAAAAGACGUCGCUGAUGAACCCAGGAAUUAUUUAUCACCCGAGACGAGACGCUCGAGACGGCGUCCAUCGUCGGCGUCGAUGGCCGAGAAAGCGAGGAGAGAUAAAUAAAAAGGAAGGGAUUAAAAAAACACGAGAUGGAGACGGCCACCUGGAAGGAAACAUUUAUUUUCCACGUGGUCGGACCAGACAAUAUUUCAACGUGGGGGCGUCGUUAAGAUUCCCCAAGAUUUAUGAGUCGUUAUCAUUUAGACUAGAAUUUUUAAGACCAGCGGCGAGCAGGCGGGCUCCAAAAUGGCGAUUUUACCGCGGGACGCGAAUCGAAUCGACGUUCGAUCUUGCUUCCCCUGAUAAUUCGGCCGAAAAGACCGGUCUAUUUAUAAAUAAUGUCGCGUGGCCUCUCGCCCAAGAAUAACGGGGAGGAUUGCUCGCAGUGACAUUAGCCACCUGGAGAUUAGAUAGAUUGCUGCUUUAUGGACGAGCACGGAUGUAGCUCUGACGAGCAUCGAUCGCUGUAACGGACUGGCAUCGGAGACGAUAAUUAUAGUUGCAGAAAUCAAUGAUCGUUAAGACAAGGGAGCAUUUCGUGGAUAGGUCUUGGACCGGGUAAAUCUACCCACGACUAUGUCGAGAACAAUAAGUAACUUAACUCGUACGUGGUGGUAAUUCCGUGCGUCACGCACAUUUUAAUAAAGAGCGCGUCAGCGGAUCUAUAUUAGUCGCAACAAUGUCAAUAAUAACUUCAUUUGUUUCUCCGGAAUGGCGACGGUGAAUAGUUUAAGGAACGCGAUCGCGUUCUAUUAAUACCGUCCCGAUUGGUUCCCCCGUGGAAAAGAUUAUUUCCGAGGUUUUGCGACCACCUGCGUACGAUAAUCUAUAGAGUGGUAUAGUAGAAAAAAAAAAACAUUUUAUUGACAAUAAAAUGUUUAUUGACGAUACAAUUGAAGUGUCGAACUUUGGCGUUGAGUACUCGUGCAUGCUAAUGUAUUUGGUGCGGAACUAAAUAAUUAUCUUACUUCCGUAUAAUUUUGCUCAUUCAGUUCGACGCUUCAGGAUUUUGUUGCCGGAUAUUUCUUCGACCUUUUUCUCGGCAUUAUUGAUUGGGGAAAAAAUUCUUAAUACCGUUGAAAUUAUUUUCAGACCUUUCUCGGGGUGACACCGUUGUCUGGAGGGUCGACAUGUGCGAAUAAUCUGCUAGUCAUAGAACGGUGGCUGUAAAAACUCGCACAUUGCGCCUCUCUUGCCAUCUGGAGCCGAGAGCGUUUGGGUCGUUACAGAAGAAGGAACUCGAAGAAAGUGACGAGGAUCCUUGGAAAUGGGAAAGGAGCCAGACGCGUCGAAGAGGUCCUCCCUUGAAGGAGCGCCUCCGGAUUAAUCAUCCUGCGAGGAGAUACGCGCUUCGAGCCGGCCAAUUUUCUUUCGGAGGAGUCGAGAAAGUCCCUCGAGAUCACCGAGGCGACCGGGGAAAUUCCGCGAAUUCAGGAAAUUCAGGAAACUCGGGAAACCACCCUUGGAUCUCUGAUAAGUGGAAACCUCGUGCCGUGAUAUUCAACAAAAAAAAUCGCGAUAACACGAGGGGCCACAAAUCAAGGGACGCUGGUGUACCUAUCAGCGCGGUGGAGGCAAAAAAUCUGACCGCUUAAACCGACGACCAGCGGUAAAGAUCAAAGGGAUUAAAAUCGAUGACCUCGAGCCAGAGUUUCUGCUUUUCGAGGGUCCCAGGAGAUACAACGCAGAGACGCGAGAAGGAUGUCUCUUUAAUACUUUGAAAGGUGAGGAAGCGCUAUUGUCGCCGACUUGGAAGACGUUGCAGACCACUUGACGUCCUUAACGAGUCUGUUAUGACACUGGAUCUUGAACCAAUAACGCACUCUAAGGGAAUGCAACGAGUCGUUAUGACAUUCUUACUGCAAGAUUGUCAAAUUGAACGCGAAUCGGUGCGCCUUCGAUGCAGACAUUGUCCUCGUUAAGCGCAAGGGCACGAAAAAACUGAGCGAUCGCGCAAGAGAUUCUAAGUCACCGGCGUCGAAAUUUCGCUGCUCCACCCUUGUCAAGAUUCGCCCUGUGAUGUCGUCUUUUCUGGCACCAGGUUCUCACAAAGCCAAAAGCCGACGUCUCUCGACGUCCACUCGACUCCGACGAGCGUUUCCCGCCGACUGACGCUCGGCGUCCCUUAACGGUGCCCUCUUCAAGAAGCGUCGCGACGCCCGAGCGCGCUGCACUCGCCUGCAGCUGCAGCGCAGGACGCGUGCUGAAUUUUCUCUGAUCCGUCCCCUCAAUCCAAAGUCUUUUAACAAUUUACCUGCAAUUUACUUCCUACAUUAAGUGCAAUUUUGCGCUAAAACUUUACAAAUAAGUACAUAGAUAUAGAUAUUGCAAGCAUGCUGAAAAGUGCAUUGAACGUCAGGAACCCAUAACAGGGCUUUACAAACGUAACCAACGAGGGCAAUUGUUAACAAUUCCCAGGCAUCGAUUUAAAAAGUGGCACUUUUAAAAGCCGCAAUCCAAAGUCUUUUAACAAUUCACCUGCAGUUUACUUCUGCACACAUCAAGUGUAAUUUUGCGCUAAAACUUAAAAAACUUGUAUAUAGAUAUUAUAAGCAUGCUCAAAAGUGCAUUGAACGCCAAAAACCCGUAAUCAGGGUUUACGAACGUAAUCGACGAGGGCAAUUGUUAACAUUUCCCAGGCAUUGUUCCGGCAUCGAUUUAAAAACCGUCACUUAUAAAAGCCUGUAUGCACCGCGUGUACUCUAUUCAAAAAGGUCGCAGUGCCCCGGUAACAUAUUUCUGCACCACUGAUGAACCAUGCCGGGUCAUUCGAAGUGACAAAGUGCAUGCAAUUUUGCCCUGCGAAUUAUUACCCCGUAAAUGCGGCGCAACGAGGAAAGCGGCUAUUCGCGGCGGAGAGGACUCCACGUAAAUUCGCGGCAGAUUGAAAAAUAAAGUAUGAUUUCGAAUUUUGUAUAAGAAAAAAAAACAGUCCUGGGGUUGUACUUUCCACCCUAUCGGGUUCUUCCCCCUUGGCUUGAAUUUUCAUCCCUUUAUCUCGUCCAGCCCUGCACCCCGGCGGAAGUCUGAACUAUUCAUGGAGGACUCUCCGCUCUUCCAAAGAACUAGAUCGAUAAUUCAUCGUUGCUUAAAGCGAUUUGCCGCACAUGCCGAACUCUCUCUUUCUUCUCGGCAGGGUGAAUUUUCAGCAUCCGAGGGAGAUAAUGUUACAGAUAAAGCACGUGCCAGCGAUCUUAAACCAGAUAUUGCCUGAUUGUCCUUUAAUUGGUGCAUUCAAGGCCUGCUGCGCAUAUAGAAUAUUUGUGUAAGACCGAACUCCAGAGUACGACUGA
rnacentral:lncRNA from 1 species